CCACUACAUAUGGUAACACUGGAUGAGGUACAGUGCCUUGCGUCUGCACCAAAACAAUGUUGUGUGUGAUCGUGCGUUGUGGGUAUUUGUGCAGGUUUCCGUAUAUUGGUUAAGUGUGUGUCCAUGGCGAUGUCUCGAAGGGUGAGGAAGAGGUUACGGAAGUCGCGAAAACUUAGCAUAUGUGUCAGCUCUUGGCGGAACGAAGGAAAAAAUGACAAUGUUGUGGAGGUGACCUGUGGCCACAGCGUCUUUCUCCACCUCCACAGAUUUCCACUUUUCCCUUCCGUUAUUUUUGCCUCUUCCUCUCUAGCACCUCAACCUCCACGCAAUUAAAUACUUGAUAGUCAAACUGAGACGUGAUAAGCACCGCAGAGAAGUGUAAGAAAAUGAUCAGGUGGUUCGCAUAACGACCUGUUACGAUCACGUGACUGACCCCUCUCUUUAGUGUGUUUAAAUGUACUGAGAACAAACCACAAAAAAGCAUGACGAAGUGUGCGGAUGGUUUUGUCGCUAGGAAUUAUUCCUGAAGAAAAAGAAAACGACAGAGGGUUAAAAACCACCGCACAUUAAACCCAGACAAGCAGUAUUAUAAUAGUACAUAACCACCACUCGCCUGACUCCUGCCUGACAUCCCAUGCGCAGGAGCGGCACGCUGCCAUCACACACGGACACUAAGGCGAAGAGGCGAGGAGCAAUACAGGAAGACAGGCUGGCAGGCAGACUGGGUGACUUCAGAGUAUUGUAGACGUGAUGGAAGAAACCACAGCCAACGGGACGUGGAUCAUGCAGACUGACUGUGUUCGGUGCCCUCCGCGGGACAACUCGCUGGAGAAUGAGGAGCAGGAUGAAUGUUAACAGAGUACGACUAUAAUAGUAAUAAGAUUAACGGCUGUCCAGUGAACGACCUGCCCUGAAGACCUACUGGAAUCACAACAUGUACCUUCAUACAUUCUAUGACUGGGCUGCUUCAUCGCUCGUCUCACUGUGUCUUCUGAUAAUUUACUUACCAAUCCUCUCUUCCUUUUCCUUCAACAAGAGUAGCGUUUUUUU